rnacentral:rRNA from 1 species
GACGGAGGAUGCAAGCGUUAUCCGGAAUGAUUGGGCGUAAAGCGUCCGCAGGUGGCAGUUCAAGUCUGCUGUCAAAGACCGGGGCUUAACUUCGGAAAGGCAGUGGAAACUGAACAGCUAGAGUAUGGUAGGGGCAGAGGGAAUUCCUGGUGUAGCGGUGAAAUGCGUAGAUAUCGAGAGGAACACCUGCGGCGAAGGCGGGUUGCUGGGCUGAUACUGACGCUGAUGCGCGAAAGCCAGGGGAGCGAACGGG